rnacentral:rRNA from 1 species
GAUGAACGCUGGCGGCGUGCCUAACACAUGCAAGUCGAGCGAUUCUCUUCGGAGAAGAGCGGCGGACGGGUGAGUAACGCGUGGGUAACCUGCCCUGUACACACGGAUAACAUACCGAAAGGUAUGCUAAUACGAGAUAAUAUGCUUUUAUCGCAUGGUAGAAGUAUCAAAGCUUUUGCGGUACAGGAUGGACCCGCGUCUGAUUAGCUAGUUGGUAAGGUAACGGCUUACCAAGGCGACGAUCAGUAGCCGACCUUAGAGGGGGAUCGGCCACAUUGGAACUGAGACACGGUCCAAACUCCUACGGGAGGCAGCAGUGGGGAAUAUUGCACAAUGGGCGAAAGCCUGAUGCAGCAACGCCGCGUGAGCGAUGAAGGCCUUCGGGUCGUAAAGCUCUGUCCUCAAGGAAGAUAAUGACGGUACUUGAGGAGGAAGCCCCGGCUAACUACGUGCCAGCCGCCGCGGUAAAAC